CGUACACUCCUACGGGAGGCAGCAGUAGGGAAUCUUCGGCAAUGGGGGCAACCCUGACCGAGCAACGCCGCGUGAGUGAAGAAGGUUUUCGGAUCGUAAAGCUCUGUUGUAAGUCAAGAACGAGUGUGAGAGUGGAAAGUUCACACUGUGACGGUAGCUUACCAGAAAGGGACGGCUAACUACGUGCCAGCAGCCGCGGUAAUACGUAGGUCCCGAGCGUUGUCCGGAUUUAUUGGGCGUAAAGCGAGCGCAGGCGGUUUGAUAAGUCUGAAGUUAAAGGCUGUGGCUCAACCAUAGUUCGCUUUGGAAACUGUCAAACUUGAGUGCAGAAGGGGAGAGUGGAAUUCCAUGUGUAGCGGUGAAAUGCGUAGAUAUAUGGAGGAACACCGGUGGCGAAAGCGGCUCUCUGGUCUGUAACUGACGCUGAGGCUCGAAAGCGUGGGGAGCGAACAGGAUUAGAUACCCUUGUAGUCCCAU
rnacentral:rRNA from 1 species